AUGUUAUCGUUUUUGUAACCUUUUUUUUUGGGUAGAAUUGAAUGUGUAGCUGUGCAGCCUCUGCCAAGACAGGAGACCAGCCAUCUAAUCCCUGUUUUUCCGUGUUUUGCUUCUUUGGCUGGAUGUCUUCCAAGACUUCAAUCUUUGAUAGGCAUACUUUCAUCUCAUCUUGACCUUCUAAUAGCACCUAAUCUAUCCUGAUUUCCAGGAAAAAUUUUUCCCUUUCCUUUUAUCUGUAUUUGCACAUCUCUUUCUCUAAUCACACUCUCGCUCUAACCUUCAUUCAUUCUGGUUUUGGCUUUUUUUUUUCUCUCUUGAUUCGAUGAAGAUCAGAAAUAGGUGAAUUUAUUUUAUUCUCAUUUGAGGCUGUGAUGAUACAAUAUUGUUGCCAUGAGUUGUGUUUCAGGCUUGAUACUAACUGGAUUUAAGCUGUAUCUUGGUGAGGCAACUUGGAUGGCAUUUUGGAGUAUAUAUUAUUCCAGAACUGCAACUGAUUUGCAGCCAUGGUUGUGCUCUUCUUCUUUGCCUGGCUUUGAUAAACAAAUUUGAGCCUUACUUUUAAUUGUCAAAGUUCAUUUUUUUUCAUUUAUUAGUCCAACUGUAGCUUAGUUUGUUCUUCUGAAAUUCUCGUACAAAUUCAAUUUCACUUCAAGUAUUACUGCUCCAUGUUUUGAUGCUUUCUUAUCACUUAUAUCAGGUAUUUUAUGAUCCCUUACAAUGAUUGCUUAUUUUAUAUUUGCUUCGUUAUCUCAACACAUGGUUUUGGUACGACAUUGCCUUCAGUUUAUAAGACUACUAAGAAGAGGGUUGAAUAUGUGAAAUCUCAUAGGCAUGGCUAUCAAGUGUUUGAUGAAAUGCCUGUCUGAAACUUGGGAUAAUUAGUUCUUAGGUUGAUAGCAAAUGCAACAAUAAAUCUAGAUGGUGUUUUUUGGAUCUCUUGAGAAGGUUCUUUAAACAAAAGAAUUGCCUCAUUCAGGUUUCUAUUGAUAUCUAAAACUAAUAAAUUAGCUUUAUUUUGAAUCAAAUGUUGGCCAUUUGAUGGAUUUUAGAGAUUUCCAAGCGAUUCAACAUUGUCACUCAACUUGCUGUCCAGAUUCUUCUUCUUCUUUGCACUGAAUUCACUGGAGGCAACAAAUUCAGACAAAUCUUUCUACCAUCAAUUGAAUAAUAGGGAACACAAAGUGUGCAGCAUCUCCUUUUCCUAUUGCUUGGUGAACUCUUGUCUGCAUUGCUCUUCUAUUUAGUUAUUCAGUUAUUUGUUGGCUUUGUAAUAUGCUUCUUUGGAUGAAUGUUUAAUGCUUUAUUUUUGUACCUUCCAGCUCAUUAUUCUGCACCUCGGAUUUCCUGACUGUUUACUACCAAUGAGUACAUCUCAAUGGGCACUGGCUGUGCUACGCACAGCCCACCCCUACUGGUGUUGCAUUAUGGGAAAGAAUUGAAAGAUAUUUCUGUUCAUUUAGGCUGAGCUAAGCACAUAAAGGCAUUAAAGUGCAUUUCUUCCACAGAAGACAUCUACACCAAAAAGCUUGAAGCCAUGUCUCUGAAUAAAGAUGAGCCGCAUGAAAGGAUACCAAUCCCUGAUCCGGAUUGUGUCACCAAAAGACAAUAUAAAUUUGCACUUAUAUUUUAUGCUACAUGUUUUUAUGACUAAGCAACAUUGGGAAUUUACACAGUUGAGGGAUAAUUUCAAAGCAGAAGAUGUGAAACAGCUGUUUAUACUGGAUGGACUUUUCUUUGACCUCAGAUCUGUUAAAGAGGUGGAAUUUGUUUCUGAAGACAUUACAUCAAAAAUGACUUUGACUGCUGCAAAAAGCUGUCGAAGAUUUGAAUUCCAAAAUUGAGGAGCUUACAAGUUACAAGAAGAACACUGUCAUAAAAGCCACAUUAACUGCUGCUGAAAUGUCUGACCCCCACACAAAGGAAGUGCUAGCUUUCCAAGUGGGACUGAUUUCUGGAGUCAUGUUCUCCUUUUUGUGCUGGACUUCAGCAACAAGAGCAUCAAGUGUUUAUGUACCAACUCAUUUGUACGUACCCAAGAUACAGUGUUUCAAAAUGCUUUAACCAUCUGUAUGUCCAUUGAAACAUGAUUUUACCAUCAUGGAAAAGUUAAUCUAUUUAUUUUCCCAAAUAAAGCUACAACUGGUUUUGGCUUUUGC